rnacentral:tRNA from 1 species
GGAGAGGUGGCCGAGUGGCUUAAGGCACAGGUUUGCUAAACCUGCGUACCGCAAGGUACCGGAGGUUCGAAUCCUCUCCUCUCCGCCA